UAGGGAAUCUUCCACAAUGGACGCAAGUCUGAUGGAGCAACGCCGCGUGAGUGAAGAAGGGUUUCGGCUCGUAAAACUCUGUUGUUAAAGAAGAACAUAUCUGAGAGUAACUGUUCAGGUAUUGACGGUAUUUAACCAGAAAGCCACGGCUAACUACGUGUCAG
rnacentral:rRNA from 1 species